UUGCAUCUCCUCCUCUCCCUCUCUCGAACCCUGACCCUGCGCCGCCGCCGCUGCCGCUCGCCAUCGCGUCCUCUCCUCCUCCACGCCCCCUCCCACCCCUCUCCAGCCAGCCUACUCCCUCCUCCCUUCCCUCCCACUCCUCCCCAUGUCCCUCGUUGCUGCACCACGCCCUCCCCCACCUUCAUAGGCAGCCUGGACCUGAUCUGGAGGAAGAAGAAGAGGGCACAAGAAGAGGAGAACAAGAAAGCUUCCCCAACUUCCCCCUUCACCAAAUAUUUGUGAUUUGAUCAUAAAGGGAUCUAUUUAGGGUUUGCUUGCUGUUCCAUCUUGGUCGUGGUCUGUUUCUGCUCUUAGCUGCUGGGCUGGUAUGUCGUGCCAUUGCUGGUGCUCGAGGUUGCUUCACUAGUCUCUUUGGAGUUCAGGCACGGAUGAACAUCAAGAUGCAGAAAAGGAAUAUAGGCUUGACUUUGGUGUAUGCUCGGCGUUAUCACUGGUGUAUCCGAUGUUGUUCAGUAUCAUAGCUCGAGCAGGAGCAAGCCUUCCACAAAGCGUUGUAUCAAGUAUCAUGGACCUAAGGUAUGCCAUCUUGCCCUGUCAUGUGCUUGUUGUUUGUGUUGUUGUCUCUAUUAGCCUGCCAUUGCUUUCAGUAUGUUUUGUGCAAUGGGUGCCAGAUAACUGUUGUGCUCUAGGGCGAACGUGCUACAACCUUUCAGGGAGACUACAUUAUCGAGCUAGGCUCGACUGAACCAGUGGUUGCACUAUUUGUUGGAACUCUGGUGAAGGCCUACGAAGGUCGAAGGGGUGUGAGCGGAAGUGCAUCGUGUCGGUGGUACAUAAAUGAUGACACUUCUGAGAUGAUAGACUUCCAUAAGAAGUACAUGCUAUCCGUUUAUCUCCGCGCUAAUUAUGUGUUGUCCUUUGCCUGAUUUGGUCAUAUGCUUAUGUUCUUGAUCUUAUUGCUAAAGGCUCCAGGGCAAGUUCUCUCCUAUAGAAAAGAUUGUCCUCCAGGGACAGACAACAGCUAUGCAUUUGCCUUGACCGUAUUGAUCUACUGAACUGCCGCAUGUAUUUUUUUUCUAUGAACUUACCACCCCUGAAGGAAAGAAGAGUAAUUCUUCCCCAGCCUCAGUCAACAAAAGGUAUGAGCUGUUCCAACAAAAAUGAUCCAAGAUGGCGUAAACAAACGAUUCUAGAUAUGUGAUGUGAAUUUGUUGGGUCUGUGACCUGCAGUGUCGGUAUAAAGAGAGUGCCAACAAGUGGUCUACCUAAGUGUGUGUUGUGUAAACCCUUGUUUUCCGAUGGUCGUGCUCAGGUAUUUCCUUUUGUUUGCUUGGUGAAAAUACAUCCAAACCUAUUCACAUGGUUGUUUGAUGGUCAGUUGACAAGGAAUAUCCGUUUAUGCCUGCUAGGGGCUUGAAAAACUGGAUGACUCUCUGCUGGUCACGGUGCAAAUCAACUGAAAGCCUGGCGGCGGAUGAAGACAAGACGUCCGCGACUAAAAGGGCCAAGCUGUAGUCCAAACGGCCCUAGGCGGAUCAUUAUUUUGGACCACAGUGUGUUGGUUAGAUGUGCUCUCGCAUUGAUGGUCUAGCGAAUGGAUGUCUCGACGUGUGUUAGAUGGUGAUGCUUCUUCCUAGGUCCAUCGUCCCUUUUGCCGUGCCGUAUUGCUUGUGAUGCGAUGUUCCGUUACACCGACCCCAGAAAACUUUAAUGUGGUGCUUAUGAAAGACCAGCCGCUGUUGGUACUAUGAUCAACAUUGGCCUUCUAUUUUGUGUGGUGUUUGUUUAGCUCUUGGUUGCUAACGAUGUAUUGUCAGUGCCAUGAGAUGGUGCUUCUGAUGGAUUAACUACUCCUGGUUCUAAUGUUGGUUUUCUAAUC